CCUACGGGGGGCAGCAGUGGGGAAUCUUGCGCAAUGGGCGAAAGCCUGACGCAGCAAUGCCGCGUGAGGGAAGAAGGCCUUAGGGUCGUAAACCUCUUUCAGUAGGGACGAAAUUGACGGUACCUACAGAAGAAGCCCCGGCUAACUACGUGCCAGCAGCCGCGGUAAUACGUAGGGGGCGAGCGUUGUCCGGAAUCAUUGGGCGUAAAGCGCGUGUAGGCGGACUGACAGGUCUGGUGUGAAAGCCCGGGGCUCAACCCCGGAGGGUCACUGGAAACCGGCAGCCUCGAGUCCGGAAGAGGAGUGUGGAAUUCCUGGUGUAGCGGUGGAAUGCGCAGAUAUCAGGAGGAACACCUAUGGCGAAGGCAGCACUCUGGUACGUGACUGACGCUGAGACGCGAAAGCGUGGGGAGCGAACAGGAUUAGAUACCCUUGUAGUC
rnacentral:rRNA from 1 species